rnacentral:rRNA from 1 species
UCCUCUUCCGUAGGUGAACCUGCGGAAGGAUCAUUA